rnacentral:lncRNA from 1 species
CAGUCGCGGCGGUCCUGGACGGCGGUGCCGGGAUGAGUGGACUUGAGGGUGAGAUGACUCACGGGGCGAAGAAGUUUCUGGCGGACCAGGGAGCUCCUCUUCGUGCUCUGGCUCGACGCUUCGUGCGUUCCCUUGAGCCCGGUCUUAAGGAGAGCGAUGGUGGGGCUUGAGUCUUGUUGCCUUUCGAAGUGACAAGGUACCCCAGCUGCUUAGUUAUGCGAUGUUGGAUAUCCACUUAUGUCAUGGCCUCAUGACUUGCAUGUUCUAGGCUUAGACAUAGAGGUUGUAAGGCAGCUUUUUUGAUGUGUUUCAUGCUUUGCUAUGUAGUCAACAUUGUCGGAAAUGUCAACUUAGCUCGGCAUGUAUUUUCUUAUGUUUUCACCAUGUAGUCAACAUUAUCGGAAAUGUUAACUUGGCUCAACAUGUGUCCUUUGGAGUACUAUAUUUCCUUCUUGCAAA